rnacentral:tRNA from 1 species
UCCCUCUUAGCUCAUUUGGUAGAGCGCGUCACUAGUAUACUACAUUCCCGAACGAGAUCAAUGACGAGGUCAGUCGUUCAAGUCGGCUAGAGGGAA